UACGGAGGAUGCAAGCGUUAUCCGGAAUGAUUGGGCGUAAAGCGUCCGCAGGUGGCAAUGUAAGUCUGCUGUUAAAGAGCAAGGCUCAACCUUGUAAAGGCAGUGGAAACUACAUGGCUAGAGUGCGUUCGGGGCAGAGGGAAUUCCUGGUGUAGCGGUGAAAUGCGUAGAGAUCAGGAAGAACACCGGUGGCGAAGGCGGCCCUCUGGACGGUGACUGACGCUGAGGCGCGAAAGCGUGGGGAGCGAACAGG
rnacentral:rRNA from 1 species